GUCUACGCCCUAAACGAUGUUCUCUGGCUUUUGGGAGUAUCGACCCUCUCAGAGGCGAAGCUAACGCGUUAAGAGAACCGCCUGGGUAGUACGGCCGCAAGGCUAAAACUCAAAGGAAUAGACGGGGACUCGCACAAGCGGUGGAUUAUGUGGCUUAAUUCGUAGCUAACCGAAGAACCUUACCAGGGCUUGAAACCAAACUGCACGCUCUUGGAAACGAGAGAAGCCUUCGAGGGUGUUUGG
rnacentral:rRNA from 1 species